AUGAUAGGAUGUGCUACACAGCUGGUGAUACUGCAGAGAGAGAUCAUUUUCCAUUUUCAGCUUGGGCGAAUGAGUAUACGCACAGAAGAGAAAAACCGUGCCAUCAGCUGCCAAGGGCAUUUCUGUGAAAUCCUUGAUAGAGGAGAGAAGGAGAGAGUCGUGAUGGAGGAAGCACAGAAGAGGAGGACGGAGAAAAGGGGGGCACCAUGUCAUGGGACCAAUUCCCAGGGCUGAGUUUGCAAGCCCUGGAAUUGGAGCCAUAACAUCAACACUCCUGAAUGUCUCAUGAAAACACCUGGCAGCAGAGCAUGGGAACUCGGGGGUGAAAAUCAUAACAAUUAUAAUGAGUAGUUUGUGUGGGAAUAGUAGAAAUGUGAUACAGGGGGUGGGGUUUGGUGAUGAUAUUUACGUGUGAUGUUACGUUGCAACCAAGGUGAUAAAAUUGCUUGUAUGUAAACAUUAUGUCAUUCUCGACUUUUUCCAAGUCGUGUGUUCUUCAAUAAAGAUUGGAUUUUGAUAGCAGCUGUCUUUGAUCUGCGUUCAUGCUGGUCGUUUGAAGUGAGUGCGACAGGUAUUCUCAGUCUGGAGUGGGUGAACUACAAUUCCCAGAAUCGUGGGUAAUCCUCCCCAAGUCUGCCAGUAUCAAAGUUGGCCAUUUUGGGUCUGUGUACCAAGUGUGGUCCAGAUCUGUCAUUGGCUGGUCAUUGCCUGGCUGCAGUGCUCUCUGGAUGGAGGUGAACUACUACAACUCCCAGAUUUCUGGGGCAAUUGUCCCGAAACAUCUGUCAGUAUCCACAGCAGGCAAUAUUGAGUCUGUGUGACAAGUUUGGAUGCAGGUGAACUACAAUUCCCAAAAUAAAGGCCCAUUCCUACAAACCCCUGCAAUAUGUUCAGUUGGUCACGAGGCUUCUCUGUGCGAAGUUUGGUCCAGGUCCAUUGUCGGUGGGGGCCACUGUUUCUCUGGAUGCAGGUGAACUAAAACUCCCUUUCCCCCUAACUUGUCCAAUAUGUUCUAUUGCAGGAAAACUAUAAAUCCCAGUACUGACUACUCCCAAAUGUCCAGGCCAAUUCCCCUCCAAACCCACCAGUAUUCGAAUCUGGGCACAUUGGGUACGCAUGGCAAGUUUGGUCCAGACCCAUCAUUGUUUGGGUUCAUAGUGUUCUGGGUGUAGGUGAACUACAACUCCUCUAAAUUCUCCAGUAGGAGUCACAGUGCUCUGACUUGAUGCAAGGUGAACUACAAUUUCCAUCAUGUGGAGUCAGUCGCCCAAACUCCCCCUCUGCUGUGUUUGUUCUGCAGACAGAUUUGAAAGGGAAGAGCAGUAGGCGGGAUUAUGCAAAUUCCACACCAUUGGAGAACCCUGGGAUGCCUGCCUGUGGUGGAGGAAAAUGCAAAAUCUAGGAUGAAAUUGUCCCCAAAUGAAAGCAUUCCUUGGGUGGUGGGUCGUAGUGUUUGGAAAGGAGAUUGGCAGGGUUGGGCUACAUGUUCAUAGAGCUUGCUGUAAUUGCAAUGUCAGUGGAAAAGAGUGAUUUGGGGGCUCCUCAGCACUGGGAACUACAGCCUGUUUGUGGAGGCUGGAGGCUGUCUGUGUGAGCAGACACCUGUGCCAUAGACAUACAUACAGGUUUUCACAUUUAUUAUGGAUAUAUAGAUAUAGAUUUUAUGUCUGACCUUUUUCUCAGAAUCCAAAUCACAUUGGAUUCAACUAUCUACAUCCACAUAGAAUUAUCUAAAGAGGAAUUUUAGAAAAAACAAAAUAAUAAAAAUAUACACAAAUAUUGCGUUGGGGAAUAGAAAUAUUCUGAAAGAGUUUUAUUAGUGGCAAAUAAGAAAUGUGUAGCAAAAAUAAAGGACAGCCUACUUUUUUGAUCAUGGCAAAUAAUUCAAAUAAGCACCUCACAAGGAUGAGCAAGUUUCUAAGAUACAGGCUGUGCUGGGUUAAAUUUCAAGACAUGACAGGGUUUGGAAAUAAGCAACUUGGGGUUUUGAAAAACGAGAGGGGAAGACAAAGAAAUAGUUUUUUAUAAGAUUGGGAACAAUAAAUAACUUUUCCUAAAUCAAAGAAAGCAGAAAACAAGGAGAUAAGUGAGGGAGAUUUAUCAGUGAAAGAGGACUAGGCAGAGAUUUACAAAUGUUUUAGCAAGAAGCCUCUUAGAAAGAGACAAUAACUUUCUCUUCAAGAGUCAGAGCUCUUUGUCCAAGAUGGAAGUAGCAAGUGCACCCAUUCCCAGUAUGUCUUCUAGUUGAAGAUGGAAUCUCCAAAGGAGAUUGUCCCAGGAGGAGGUGCUUUUAGUGUCUGGUAUCUUUUUAUGUGGGUUGUGAGGUAUUCAAAAACCCACAUACACAACAAAAAAGAACAUUAAGUUUGUUCAGGCUUACAAAUUUGCCAGUCUUCAACGUUCUCAGGAUAUUGCAUCACUUUGUAACUAAGCCCCCAUCUACAUUGCCA
ensembl:lncRNA